GAUAUGAAUUCUACAGAUUCUUUUGGCCUCAUCUCUAUUUUUUUUUAUUUUUUUAAGUUUUUAAAAGAUUUAUUUAUUUUAUUUUAUGUGUAUGAAUAUUUUGAUACCUUACUUGAAAUUUAAAAUUUUACUUUUAGUUGUGUGUGUGAGAAGUUGCCCGCAGAGGGAAUGGAAGGAGGCUGCAUCCCCUGGAGCUGGAGUUACAGAGGAUUGUCAGCUGACCUAAAUGAAGAAGCAGCACCAUUGGCUGUAAGAAUCUCCUACCUCCUCAGCGUGGUCGGGGCAGGCAUGAAGCCUCUCUGGAUGUUUUCUUCCUCUCUCCUGGGAGAGACAUGAUCCCUCAGAAUUUUAUCCCACUGAAGCAUAGGAGCUGUCUGAUGGCCAGGGCCGCACAGAGACACAAGGAGUGUCUGCUCUCCUUCUGCUCCCAUGUCCGUGCCUUCUCCUUCAUGACCUGCAGAGGAGAGAGGCUGUGCCAGAACCAGUCGGCGCCCAAGCAAAAUCAAUAGUAUUGUGACAUUUACUGGGAGCUCCCUCUGUGCCACACUGUGCCUGAGGAGCUGCAGGCUCACCUGGAAUAGCAGGGCAAGUUUGAUCACAGUCAUGGAGCAAGGCAAGCUGGGAGGAAACUCAAACACAGUGCUGGGCUCGCAGGUGUGCACCACCACAACCAGCGUCAUGCAGAGCUGGGGUGGACCCCAGGGCGUUCUCAUCAACUGAGCUGCAUCCCCAAGACUCUUUUGCUGGCCUCAUCAGAAAGCCAGGUGCUUACAUUUUGAAAUGAAAUCAUUCUGUGGACCAGGCUGAAACUCUGCUUCCUGCAUCUUCAUGUGACCCUGACACCCGUCUUAGAACUGUUCUCCACAUUCCGGGCCUGGGGCAAGCACAGUAAUGCGCUGUCCUUGUCAGCCAGCCAGGGUGCGCCCUGAAGGCUGGCCUUUGUCUGAGGUCACCUCUCCAGUGGGCAGGGGGCCUGCUCGACCAGAGCUGGCAUGGUGACAGGACAUCUCUAGGGACAGUAAACUGCCAGUCAGUGUAGCGUCCUGGGAUCACUCAAGAGGAACGAGGAGUCGCAGAUGCAGAACUCCCCACUGCCUUCUGCCAGGGCCCAACAAUGGAUGUCUGUGUGCCCCUUAAUAACAUGAAGUCGCCAUAGAGACAUUUCUUCCAAUUAUGUAUUCCUUGUAAGGAUGGGACACUCACACUUAGAGGUUUGUGGGUUUUUUUUUUUUUUUUUAGCCAAGAAUGUA